AACCCUUGGUGAGGGAACCUUCUCAAAUGAUCCCUGUAUCUCUCCCCUGCAUCAUAGAGUGUUUCUAAAUCCAUCUGCACAAAAGAAGAGAUAUCAUUACGUAAUUU
rfam:Gossypium hirsutum cultivar TM-1 chromosome 2, whole genome shotgun sequence